rnacentral:rRNA from 1 species
CGCGUAGGCGGCCUGUUAAGUCUGGAGUGAAAGUCCUGCUUUCAAGGUGGGAAUUGCUUUGGAAACUGGCGGGCUGGAGUGCAGGAGAGGUUAGCGGAAUUCCCGGUGUAGCGGUGAAAUGCGUAGAGAUCGGGAGGAACACCAGUGGCGAAGGCGGCUAACUGGACUGUAACUGACGCUGAAGCGCGAAAGUGUGGGGAGCAAACAGGAUUAGAUACCCUGGUAGUCCACACUGUAAACGAUGAAUGCUAGGUGUAGGGGGUAUCGACCCCUUCUGUGCCGGAGUUAACACAAUAAGCAUUCCGCCUGGGGAGUACGGCCGCAAGGUUGAA